rnacentral:rRNA from 1 species
ACAUUGGGACUGAGAGACGGCCCAAACUCCUACGGGAGGCAGCAGUAGGGAAUUUUCGGCAAUGGGGGAAACCCUGACCGAGCAACGCCGCGUGAACGACGAAGUACUUCGGUAUGUAAAGUUCUUUUAUCAGGGAAGAAUGGCUCGUGGAAAAGCGAGCGUGACGGUACCUGAUGAAUAAGCCCCGGCUAACUAUGUGCCAGCAGCCGCGGUAAUACAUAGGGGGCAAGCGUUAUCCGGAAUUAUUGGGCGUAAAGGGUGCGUAGGUGGCCGUUUAAGUCUUUGGUGUAAGUGCAGCGCUCAACGCUGUGAUGCUAAAGAAACUGGGCGACUUGAGUGUGGUAGAGGCAAGUGGAAUUCCAUGUGUAGCGGUAAAAUGCGUAAAUAUAUGGAGGAACACCGGUGGCGAAGGCGGCUUGCUGGGCCACAACUGACACUGAGGCACGAAAGCGUGGGGAGCAAACAGGAUUAGAUACCCUGGUAGUCCACGCCGUAAACGAUGAGUACUAAGUGUANGGGAAACUCUGUGCUGUAGUUAACGCAAUAAGUACUCCGCCUGAGUAGUACGUACGCAAGUAUGAAACUCAAAGGAAUUGACGGGACCCCGCACAAGCGGUGGNUCAUGUUGUUUAAUUCGAUGAUACGCGAAGAACCUUACCAGGUCUUGA